CUGGUGAGUAACACGUGGGAAACCUGCCCAGAAGCGGGGGAUAACACCUGGAAACAGAUGCUAAUACCGCAUAACAACUUGGACCGCAUGGUCCGAGCUUGAAAGAUAGCUUCGGCUAUCACUUUUGGAUGGUCCCGCGGCGUAUUAGCUAGAUGGUGGGGUAACGGCUCACCAUGGCAAUGAUACGUAGCCGACCUGAGAGGGUAAUCGGCCACAUUGGGACUGAGACACGGCCCAAACUCCUACGGGAGGCAGCAGUAGGGAAUCUUCCACAAUGGACGAAAGUCUGAUGGAGCAACGCCGCGUGAGUGAAGAAGGGUUUCGGCUCGUAAAACUCUGUUGUUAAAGAAGAACAUAUCUGAGAGUAACUGUUCAGGUAUUGACGGUAUUUAACCAGAAAGCCACGGCUAACUACGUGCCAGCAGCCGCGGUAAUACGUAGGUGGCAAGCGUUGUCCGGAUUUAUUGGGCGUAAAGCGAGCGCAGGCGGUUUUUUAAGUCUGAUGUGAAAGCCUUCGGCUCAACCGAAGAAGUGCAUCGGAAACUGGGGAAACUUGAGUUGCAGAAAAGGACAGUGGGAACUCCAUGUGUAGCGUGGAAAUGCCUUAGAUAUAUGGAAGAA
rnacentral:rRNA from 1 species